rnacentral:rRNA from 1 species
GGGCUGUUCGCCCAUUAAAGCGGUACGCGAGCUGGGUUUAGAACGUCGUGAGACAGUUCGGUCCCUAUCCGCUGUGCGCGUAGGAAACUUGAGAAGAGCUGUCCCUAGUACGAGAGGACCGGGAUGGACGAACCUCUGGUGUGUCAGUUGUUCUGCCAAGAGCACGGCUGAUUAGCUACGUUCGGAAGUGAUAACCGCUGAAAGCAUCUAAGCGGGAAGCACGCUUCAAGAUGAGGUUUCCAUGGGCUUCGGCCCGAGAGGCUCCCAGCUAGACUACUGGGUUGAUAGGCCAGACGUGGAAGCACAGUAAUGUGUGUAGCUGACUGGUACUAAUAAGCCGAUAACUUGACACAACAAAG